UGUGUAUGAAGCAAGCUGCCUCUGCAUCAAGUGAGAGAAGAAGCCGCCACUGAAAAGCUUUUUGGACUGUCAUUUGAAGGACACAAAUGAAAGGACAGGAAUUCUGCUCUGCGGCGUUGGCCUCACUAUUUAUUCAAGAAGCCCUCGGACACCACCAGAAUGUAUGAAAAUUGUAAACAGUAGGCACAGUCAUUCCUUCAUCGACCUGGCAUCAACAUCGCUCGAUGUGUAUGAAGCUGCAAGUGAGAGAAGAAGCCGCCACUGAACACCUUUUUGGACUGUCAUGACUCAAAUGAAAGGACAGGACUUCUACUCUGCUGGGUCGGCCUCACUACAUAUUCAAGAAGCCCUCGGACGUCAUCAGAAUGUAUUAAUGUGAAGAGGCAACAAGGGAGAGAUGAACGCUAUCAAAAAUGUGGAGAUGGAUCUGGCAGCCGACCGCUUUGGCACACACCCAACAAGAAACAAAACAAUAAAGAAUACUAAAAUGCAUAA